ACAGAACAAAUGCGUUACUCUUCUAAUUAUUGUGAGCGUUAAAAAUACAGUUGAGAAGCAGAAGGCAUAUUUUAUUAUCCCAUCAUGAUUAAGCAACCCCGUGCAGGAUUUUGCUCCGUCAAGGUCCCCUCGGAGGGAAACAUGGAUCCGACAGAAAUGAAGAAAAGUCAAGCAUGUGUUUUUUUUUUGGUUUUUUUUGAGGUUGCACUUCGGUUUUUCCAUGUAGCGUGUACUUUGGGACUUUUGUUGGCGUGCGAGGCCAGGAACAAGGCCCAUUGUUUAUGAGAGCGUGUUAUUGUUGGGCCCUGCUCAGAAACAAGAGAAAACUCCAGAGCUGGAGAUUCCUCAAGCGACACCGUGAGUGAAGUAAGCAGGCGAGGGGAAAUGGAAGCAAGCGUCCAGAGGAAGAGAAGCACAUUCUUAAGGCGACGCGUCACCUACACAAACUAUGGUGACCUUUUCUGGAGGCCUUCAUGUCAGCGGUCACUCACGCAUGAGAGCAGCACAUCGCACUCUGCCUGUGCCUCGGUUCGCCCAAGUCCAGAGCUUACACUUCAGUGUUUUUAUUGUGUAAGUGUGUUCACACUGAGAAGUACAGCAAAAUGCAGUGAU